rnacentral:rRNA from 1 species
ACCCGCUGAACUUAAGCAUAUCAAUAAGCGGAGGAAAAGAAACCAACAGGGAUUGCCCUAGUAACGGCGAGUGAAGCGGCAACAGCUCAAAUUUGAAAUCUGGCGUCUUUGGCGUCCGAGUUGUAAUUUGCAGAGGGCGCUUUGGCAUUGGCAGCGGUCCAAGUUCCUUGGAACGGGACGUCACAGAGGGUGAGAAUCCCGUACGUGGUCGCUAGCCUUUACCGUGUAAAGCCCCUUCGACGAGUCGAGUUGUUUGGGAAUGCAGCUCUAAAUGGGAGGUAAAUUUCUUCUAAAGCUAAAUACUGGCCAGAGACCGAUAGCGCACAAGUAGAGUGAUCGAAAGAUGAAAAGCACUUUGGAAAGAGAGUUAAAAAGCACGUGAAAUUGUUGAAAGGGAAGCGCUUGCAGCCAGACUUGCCUGUAGUUGCUCAUCCGGGUUUCUACCCGGUGCACUCUUCUAUAGGCAGGCCAGCAUCAGUUUGGGCGGUUGGAUAAAGGUCUCUGUCAUGUACCUCUCUUCGGGGAGAACUUAUAGGGGAGACGACAUGCAACCAGCCUGGACUGAGGUCCGCGCAUCUGCUAGGAUGCUGGCGUAAUGGCUGU